rnacentral:rRNA from 1 species
GAUGAACGCUGGCGGCGUGCCUAAUACAUGCAAGUCGAGCGAACGGACGAGAAGCUUGCUUCUCUGAUGUUAGCGGCGGACGGGUGAGUAACACGUGGAUAACCUACCUAUAAGACUGGGAUAACUUCGGGAAACCGGAGCUAAUACCGGAUAAUAUUUUGAACCGCAUGGUUCAAAAGUGAAAGACGGUCUUGCUGUCACUUAUAGAUGGAUCCGCGCUGCAUUAGCUAGUUGGUAAGGUAACGGCUUACCAAGGCAACGAUGCAUAGCCGACCUGAGAGGGUGAUCGGCCACACUGGAACUGAGACACGGUCCAGACUCCUACGGGAGGCAGCAGUAGGGAAUCUUCCGCAAUGGGCGAAAGCCUGACGGGGCAACGCCGCGCGAGUGAUGAAGGUCUUCGGAUCGUAAAACUCUGUUAUUAGGGAAGAACAUAUGUGUAAGUAACUGUGCACAUCUUGACGGUACCUAAUCAGAAAGCCACGGCUAACUACGUGCCAGCAGCCGCGGUAAUACGUAGGUGGCAAGCGUUAUCCGGAAUUAUUGGGCGUAAAGCGCGCGUAGGCGGUUUUUUAAGUCUGAUGUGAAAGCCCACGGCUCAACCGUGGAGGGUCAUUGGAAACUGGAAAACUUGAGUGCAGAAGAGGAAAGUGGAAUUCCAUGUGUAGCGGUGAAAUGCGCAGAGAUAUGGAGGAACACCAGUGGCGAAGGCGACUUUCUGGUCUGUAACUGACGCUGAUGUGCGAAAGCGUGGGGAUCAAACAGGAUUAGAUACCCUGGUAGUCCACGCCGCAAACGAUGAGUGCUAAGUGUUAGGGGGUUUCCGCCCCUUAGUGCUGCAGCUAACGCAUUAAGCACUCCGCCUGGGGAGUACGACCGCAAGGUUGAAACUCAAAGGAAUUGACGGGGACCCGCACAAGCGGUGGAGCAUGUGGUUUAAUUCGAAGCAACGCGAAGAACCUUACCAAAUCUUGACAUCCUUUGACAACUCUAGAGAUAGAGCCUUCCCCUUCGGGGGACAAAGUGACAGGUGGUGCAUGGUUGUCGUCAGCUCGUGUCGUGAGAUGUUGGGUUAAGUCCCGCAACGAGCGCAACCCUUAAGCUUAGUUGCCAUCAUUAAGUUGGGCACUCUAAGUUGACUGCCGGUGACAAACCGGAGGAAGGUGGGGAUGACGUCAAAUCAUCAUGCCCCUUAUGAUUUGGGCUACACACGUGCUACAAUGGACAAUACAAAGGGCAGCGAAACCGCGAGGUCAAGCAAAUCCCAUAAAGUUGUUCUCAGUUCGGAUUGUAGUCUGCAACUCGACUACAUGAAGCUGGAAUCGCUAGUAAUCGUAGAUCAGCAUGCUACGGUGAAUACGUUCCCGGGUCU